rnacentral:rRNA from 1 species
AUUGAACGCUGGCGGCAGGCCUAACACAUGCAAGUCGAACGGUAACAGGAAGAAGCUUGCUUCUUUGCUGACGAGUGGCGGACGGGUGAGUAAUGUCUGGGAAACUGCCUGAUGGAGGGGGAGAACUACUGGAAACGGUAGCUAAUACCGCAUAAUGUCGCAAGACCAAAGAUGGGGACCUUCGGGCCUCUUUCCAUCGGAUGUGCCCAGAUGGGAUUAGCUAGUAGGUGGGGUAACGGCUCACCUAGGCGACGAUCCCUAGCUGGUCUGAGAGGAUGACCAGCCACACUGGAACUGAGACACGGUCCAGACUCCUACGGGAGGCAGCAGUGGGGAAUAUUGCACAAUGGGCGCAAGCCUGAUGCAGCUAUGCCGCGUGUAUGAAGAAGGCCUUCGGGUUGUAAAGUUCUUUCAGCGGGGAGGAAGGGAGUAAAGUUAAUACCUUUGCUCAUUGACGUUACCCGAAGAAGAAGCACCGGCUAACUCCGUG